UAUGGUAAUUGUGUGCAGCCGCGGUAAUACGUAGGUGGCAAGCGUUGUCCGGAAUUAUUGGGCGUAAAGGGCGCGCAGGCGGCGUCGUAAGUCGGUCUUAAAAGUGCGGGGCUUAACCCCGUGAGGGGACCGAAACUGCGAUGCUAGAGUAUCGGAGAGGAAAGCGGAAUUCCUAGUGUAGCGGUGAAAUGCGUAGAUAUUAGGAGGAACACCAGUGGCGAAAGCGGCUUUCUGGACGACAACUGACGCUGAGGCGCGAAAGCCAGGGGAGCAAACGGG
rnacentral:rRNA from 1 species